rnacentral:lncRNA from 1 species
GUACCAAAGAAAAUGGCGGACGGGCUCGGUACAUAAGGAACCCAACCGUAAACGUUACCUCAGUCGAACGAAACUGGGAAGUCCCUUACCGAAAAAGUUCAGGAGAUAUGAUUCACCUUCAUACCGGACGGGAUAUCGAGGCGAUAGAAUAUUUGGUGCCCAUUAUCGGACGAGGUAUGGGGACGACCGGUUAAUUGUUAAAAUUGGAUAUUAGGUUUACGAGUAGGAAGACAUUCCUAUAGACUCCCAAGGGUAUUAGUAAGCAAGUAAGAGAGGAAAAUUGUUGUCUCUUAUUCUCUUG